rnacentral:rRNA from 1 species
AAGAUGCAGUGUACCCGCGGCUAGACGGAAAGACCCCGUGAACCUUUACUACAGCUUGGCACUGAACAUUGACCCUACAUGUGUAGGAUAGGUGGGAGGCUUUGAAGCACGUACGCCAGUAUGUGUGGAGCCGUCCUUGAAAUACCACCCUUGUAGUGUUGAUGUUCUAACGUUGACCCCUUAUCGGGGUUACGGACAGUGCCUGGUGGGUAGUUUGACUGGGGCGGUCUCCUCCCA